ACUGUAGCACUGAAACACUGCUCAUCAGCGCCCUCUAGUGGGGGAAACAUCCACAUCGACUAUUAUACUGAAAUAUAUUUUUGUACAUUGUUGUUGUUGGACAUUACACAAAGACGAUUACUUUCAAAGGAAUAAUUUAUAUAUAUAUAUAUAUAUAACUCUGUGUAUAUUCAAAUAUCGCUGUCUAUAUCAUAUUCCAAAAGUGUAUAUUACUUCNNNNNNNNNNGAAGACAAUACUCUGCAUGAAGACAAUAUACUCUGCAUGGAGACAAUAUACUCUGCACGGAGACAAUACUCUGCACGAAGACAAUACUCUGCACGAAGACAAUACUCUGCACGGAGACAAUACUCUGCACGGAGACAAUACUCUCAUUUUUCCCACCAGGGGUGUGAUUCCACCAAACAGACUUGUUGCAGAUAUAAACCAGUGUGUGAUGACGUAGUGCACACAAAAUGUACUUUUUAGUUUAAGAUUUCAUGGUGUUCCAAUGUAUUAUUAUUUGACCAUGUUGGUCAUCUAUGAACAUUUGAACAUCUUGGCCAUGUUCUGUUAUAAUCUCCACCCAGCACAGCCAGAAGAGGACUGGCCACCCCUCAUAGCCUGGUUCCUCUCUAGGUUUCUUCCUAGGUUUUGACCUUUCUAGGGAGUUUUCCCUAGCCACCGUGCUUCUACACCUGCAUUGCUUGCUGUUUUGGAGGUUUUAGACCAACGCUCUAACCACUAGGGUACCUGCCGCAACCCUUGUAUACAAUUCACCACUAAAAUGUUCACCAUUAGAUAUCUGGUGGUUCUCUGAAGCUCAGUUGGUAGAGCGUAGUCCUUGCAACGUCAGGAGUGUGGGUUCAAUUCCCGGGACCAACCAUAUGUUAAAUGUAUGCACGUAUGGCUGAAAGUCACUUUGGAUAAAACAUUUUUUUUUAAAGAGUCUGCUAAAUGGAACAUACUAUAUUAUUAUAAUGGCUUUCUGCCAGAAGUUGGAGGUCUGGAUGGGAGAGUACAGUGGCCAUUUUGUCCCUGUGCUUCCUACUAGCUUCGUCUUCCUACUCUGUUCUUCCUUCAGAAAAGCAUGCGUCACAACUUUGUUCACUUGUACAAUUUCUCUCGUUCACUUUCGCUUGUAAAAUGUCCACACUCACCAAAAAUGACAUUCGGUAGCGACUAGCAAUGCUUGUGUAACUUUAUGAGCUGGAUUUGCCUGGCUUUGCAAUUAGUCUGUUUCGUUUUCACUUGAUAGCAUUUAGCUAACGGAGUCUAUGUGAUUUCACUACUACUUGUGUUAAUUCUGUUAGCACUUUGGUAAAAGCCAUGGGCAUUUUUGUUGUUGUUGUUGUUGAAUUUAUAGCGCCCCCUUGUGUGAUGUACCGGUAAUACCGUAAAUCCCCGAAAUGGCAGAAGAACACUACCACCCACGUCUAAGGAUUACAAAUAAUCAUGAAUGAAUCGUGAAAAAUAGAUCGGUGAAGAAACACAGAUCAUGUCCCCAAAACAUGCUAGUCUCUCACCCUUACCAAUAACAGGGGACUUUAAUGUUUUUGGGGGACGAAGGGGUUAUGAUAUCUAUGCCUCUGUAACUGAAUUUAUUUGAGUGUAUAUGUAUGAAAAUACCAUCAAAUAAAAAGUGACAUUCUGUACGGUCGUCUCAUAUGAAAUGAAACAUUUGAUCUCAAAUCCAAAAACGCUGGAGUAAAGCCCNNNNNNNNNNNNNNNNNNNNNNNNNNNNNNNNNNNNNNNNNNNNNNNNNNNNNNNNNNNNNNNNNNNNNNNNNNNNNNNNNNNNNNNNNNNNNNNNNNNNNNNNNNNNNNNNAAGGGUAAAUGAAUAACAGGAUAAAAAUAAAAACUUCAAACGUAAAGACAACUGACCUUGUGUAUUGUUGGGGUGCGUUCAGUUCAAUUGAACGUUUGCUACAUUGCGUAACAGUUUGUACUGAACAACACCUUUCCCCAAAACGUUCUUGAACAGACUAAGGUACAUUUACUUCAUUUGGUGAGUGUGACUUGAAGCAAUAUGUUAAGUAUUUAAAAAGGACGGCUGUACAUUUAACCUCCAACCGCUCUCCUUUUCUCAACUGGUCGUUCAGUACAGCACUGUUUCAUUGAGCUUUACACUAAAUUCAUACUGAACGCAGCCCUCUAUUUGAACACAACCCCAGUGGAACAUUCUGGUUGGACCGCAGAUGGUCAAGACGACCAUGCUCAAAUGGACCAAUCAGCAACCAGAGCAAUGUGACCUGAACGGACACAGAGCCAAUAGGAAAACAUUCUACCCCUGUAAACAGUGUUCUCCACAUGUUAAAGCAUCAAAAUAAACAACAAAAGCCAGAUCGCUUUCAGCAUGACAAUGUUUUGUAACGUUCGGAUAGAAAUAGCCUGUGUAGAACAAACAUACCUCUGACAUAUAGAAUAAGGAUUCACAUCAGCUCGAUUCAUGGCAGAUCUGCAAUGUUCGAGAAAGUUUGGCAACUGAACAUGGCCCAGUGUCAGCACUUUACAAUGGAAUUGGUUAAACAUUUACGAAAUGACGAUGAACCAAAAACUACACACAGGUUAAAAACUUAAUCUAAAAUGGACUAUUAAAAUAAAACAAGAUUAUUCACAACCAUCAAUAAACAGGAUGUAAUGUUAUUGACAACAAUGAAAAACAGGAUGUAAUGUUAUUGAACAAUAAACAGGAUGUAAUGUUAUUGACAACAAUAAACAGGAUGUAAUGUUAUUGAACAAUAAACAGGAUGUAAUGUUAUUGACAACAAUAAACAGGAUGUAAUGUUAUUGACAACAAUAAACAGGAUGUAAUGUUAUUGACAACAAUAAACAGGAUGUAAUGUUAUUGACAACAAUAAACAGGAUGUAAUGUUAUUGACAACAAU
rnacentral:lncRNA from 13 species